UACGAAGGGGGCUAGCGUUGCUCGGAAUCACUGGGCGUAAAGGGCGCGUAGGCGGUCCGACAAGUCAGGGGUGAAAUCCUGCAGCUUAACUGCAGAAGUGCCUUUGAUACUGUCGGUCUUGAGGGAGAUAGGGGUGUGCGGAACUCACAGUGGAGCGGUGAAAUGCGUUGAUAUUGUGAGGAACGCCGGAGGCGAAAGCGGCGCACUGGAUCUCUUCUGACGCUGAGGCGCGAAAGCUAGGGGAGCAAACGGG
rnacentral:rRNA from 1 species